UAGACUGAAACACCUGACCAGACCAUUUUUUACUUAGAAGCACACUAUCAGCAGAGCACACGUGUGUCUCUUGCAAAAAGGCAAUAUCCGCUCUCAGCUGCUUUAAAUGACUCAUAAUUUUACAAAAUUUUAAUGGGCUAUUAAGAGAUUUUACAUUCCAGCUCACACAGUUAACUAGACAGCCAUUUGAAUAACUAGUAUUUUACAUAUUACCAGCCAUGAUCAGAAAAACAAUAUAUCACCUGAUGCACAUGAAUCCAAAGAUACCUGACAUAAAGGUCACCACAAAUAAACAGAUCUGGUUUAGCCCCACCCCUAUCUCCCACAUGAACAUGGAGAUAAUAACAGCAACUCUUAAACACAAAUCCACCCAUUAGUGCUUGUAUUGAGG